AUGGAGCCUUCGUGAGGUCUCCGGGUGUGGAGCCUCCGCCUCCCGGCAUCUCACGUGCUCGCUGACCAGGAAGCCCUCUGAAUCUCGUUCGAGAAUUGUUGAGGCCACUUCCUGAGUGAGAGAGCAUAUUUGCAGAUCGUGUAUCUGAUAAGGGAUUAAUAUCCGAAAGAUGCAAAGAACUCAUGCCAUUCGAGAGCAAAAAACCCAAACAAUCCUAUUAAAAGGUGGGCAGAGGAUGUGCCCGCAGAGCACACAGGUGAAUGUGGAUGCAAAAAUUCUCAGCGAGAUACUAGCCAACCGGAUCCAACGAGACAUUAAAAGGAUUAUUCACCACGAUCGAGUGGGAUUUAUAUCUGGGAUGCAAGGCUGGUUCAAUAUCCACAAAUCAAUCAGUGUGAUACAUCACAUUAAUAGAACGGCUAUCGUCAGAAGGGCAACAGGUAGCGAGUGAUGGCCAGGAUGCGGAGAAAAGGGAACCCGGGCACUGCUCUGGGGCUGUAAGUUGGUGCCGCCACUGUGGAAGACGAUAUGAAGGUUCCUCAAAAAACUAAAAGUAGAAACACCAUAUGAUCCAACGUUUCCACUUCUGGGCAUUUAUCCAAAGAACGAAAACGCAGUUGUGAAAAGAUCCCUGCACUCCCAUGUUUAUGACAGCCAGGGCAUGGAAACCACCCAAGUGUCCACGGACAGGUGAUUGGGGAAAGAUGUGAUAUAGAUACACGACGGAAUACCAUUUACCCGUAUAAAAGAAUGAAUUCUUGCCGUUUGUGACAGCAUGGGUGGACCUCGAGGGCAUUGUGCUAAGUCACGUAAGUCAGACGCAGACAAAUACUGUACG